rnacentral:rRNA from 1 species
UGGGGAAUUUUGGACAAUGGGCGAAAGCCUGAUCCAGCAAUGCCGCGUGUGUGAAGAAGGCCUUCGGGUUGUAAAGCACUUUUGUCCGGAAAGAAAUCCUUGGCUCUAAUACAGUCGGGGGAUGACGGUACCGGAAGAAUAAGCACCGGCUAACUACGUGCCAGCAGCCGCGGUAAUACGUAAGGUGCAAGCGUUAAUCGGAAUUACUGGGCGUAAAGCGUGCGCAGGCGGUUUGCUAAGACCGAUGUGAAAUCCCCGGGCUCAACCUGGGAACUGCAUUGGUGACUGGCAGGCUAGAGUAUGGCAGAGGGGGGUAGAAUUCCACGUGUAGCAGUGAAAUGCGUAGAGAUGUGGAGGAAUACCGAUGGCGAAGGCAGCCCCCUGGGCCAAUACUGACGCUCAUGCACGAAAGCGUGGGGAGCAAACAGGAUUAGAUACCCUGGUAGUCCACGCCCUAAACGAUGUCAACUAGUUGUUGGGAUUCAUUCCUUAGUAACGUAGCUAACGCGUGAAGUUGACCGCCUGGGGAGUACGGUCGCAAGAUUAAAACUCAAAUGAAUUGACGGGGUCAUAGCUG